rnacentral:rRNA from 1 species
UACGAAGGGGGCUAGCGUUGUUCGGAAUUACUGGGCGUAAAGCGCACGUAGGCGGACUAUUAAGUCAGGGGUGAAAUCCCGGGGCUCAACCCCGGAACUGCCUUUGAUACUGGUAGUCUCGAGUCCGGAAGAGGUGAGUGGAAUUCCGAGUGUAGAGGUGAAAAUUCGUAGAUAUUCGGAGGAACACCAGUGGCGAAGGCGGCUCACUGGUCCGGUACUGACGCUGAGGUGCGAAAGCGUGGGGAGCAAACAGG